GUCUCUGCGGCACAAUCGGCUAUUAACCGAAAGGUUGGUGGUUCGAUCCCACCCAGGGACG
rnacentral:tRNA from 1 species